AUUGAACGCUGGCGGCAGGCCUAACACAUGCAAGUCGAGCGGAGCGGCGGACGGGUGAGUAAUGCCUAGGAAUCUGCCUGGUAGUGAGGGAUAACGUCCGGAAACGGGCCCCAAUACCACAUACGAUCAGAUGACCCUAGGUCGGAUUAGCUAGUUGGUGGGGUAAAGGCCUACCAAGGCGACGAUCCGUAACUGGACUGAGAGGAUGAUCAGUCACACUGGGACUGAGACACGGUCCAGACGCCUACGGGAGGCAGCAGUGGGGAAUAUUGGACAAUGGGCGAAAGCCUGAUCCAGCCAGGCCGCGUGUGUGAAGAAGGUCUUCGGAUUGUAAAGCCCUUUAAGUUGGGAGGCGUUACCAACAGAAUAAGCAACGGCUAACUACGUGCCAGCAGCCGCGGUAAUUC
rnacentral:rRNA from 1 species